GACAUGAUUGUGGGACGUCCUACCGGUGGACUCAGGCUCUUUCUCUUCGGAGGGGAGGCGGUCCAGCUAAUAUCCCAUCGCGGUGCUUUUCAUCGAGUGUCGAGGUGGGCCGGUACGUUUACUUUGAACAAAUUAGAGUGCUCAAAGCAGGCCAUCCUCGCCUGAAUACUGUGUGCAUGGAAUAA
rnacentral:rRNA from 1 species